AAGACUCUACUUUCAGGGAUCAUUUCUUUAGUCUGGAACUAGAGGAUUGUGUUUCUACAGAGGUUGGUCUGGCUGUCCAUGAUGAUGAAUGAA
rnacentral:snoRNA from 1 species